UACGGAGGGAGCUAGCGUUGUUCGGAAUUACUGGGCGUAAAGCGCACGUAGGCGGCUUUGUAAGUUAGAGGUGAAAGCCCGGGGCUCAACCCCGGAAUUGCCUUUAAGACUGCAUCGCUUGAAUCCGGGAGAGGUGAGUGGAAUUCCGAGUGUAGAGGUGAAAUUCGUAGAUAUUCGGAAGAACACCAGUGGCGAAGGCGGCUCACUGGACCGGUAUUGACGCUGAGGUGCGAAAUCGUGGGGAGCAAACAGG
rnacentral:rRNA from 1 species